rnacentral:rRNA from 1 species
GAUGAACGCUGGCGGCGUGCCUAAUACAUGCAAGUCGAGCGAACAGACGAGGAGCUUGCUCCUCUGACGUUAGCGGCGGACGGGUGAGUAACACGUGGAUAACCUACCUAUAAGACUGGGAUAACUUCGGGAAACCGGAGCUAAUACCGGAUAAUAUAUUGAACCGCAUGGUUCAACAGUGAAAGACGGUUUUGCUGUCACUUAUAGAUGGAUCCGCGCCGCAUUAGCUAGUUGGUAAGGUAACGGCUUACCAAGGCGACGAUGCGUAGCCGACCUGAGAGGGUGAUCGGCCACACUGGAUCUGAGACACGGUCCAGACUCCUACGGGAGGCAGCAGUAGGGAAUCUUCCGCAAUGGGCGAAAGCCUGACGGAGCAACGCCGCGUGAGUGAUGAAGGUCUUCGGAUCGUAAAACUCUGUUAUUAGGGAAGAACAAAUGUGUAAGUAACUAUGCACGUCUUGACGGUACCUAAUCAGAAAGCCACGGCUAACUACGUG